rnacentral:rRNA from 1 species
GAUGAACGCUGGCGGCGUGCCUAAUACAUGCAAGUCGAGCGAACGGACGAGAAGCUUGCUUCUCUGAUGUUAGCGGCGGACGGGUGAGUAACACGUGGAUAACCUACCUAUAAGACUGGGAUAACUUCGGGAAACCGUAGCUAAUACCGGAUAAUAUUUUGAACCGCAUGGUUCAAAAGUGAAAGACGGUCUUGCUGUCACUUAUAGAUGGAUCCGCGCUGCAUUAGCUAGUUGGUAAGGUAACGGCUUACCAAGGCAACGAUGCAUAGCCGACCUGAGAGGGUGAUCGGCCACACUGGAACUGAGACACGGUACAGACUCCUACGGGAGGCAGCAGUAGGGAAUCUUCCGCAAUGGGCGAAAGCCUGACGGAGCAACGCCGAGUGAGUGAUGAAGGUCUUCGGAUCGUAAAACUCUGUUAUUAGGGAAGAACAUAUGUGUAAGUAACUGUGCACAUCUUGACGGUACCUAAUCAGAAAGCCACGGCUAACUACGUG